GCCGGCCUGCCAGGUUGGUGAUGGCGGUAACCGAUUUUUGAACCAAUGCAGAAUGAACGGGGACUCGACUCGAACUAGGAUCCGGUGAGCGAUGCUCCGCCAUGCGGAGAUGCCUAAAGGGUCUCGGCGGGUUCCCACGUCUACCGACGGGUUCAUUCUCGGCCCGUCACACGGCAUGUUGGGUCGGCU
rnacentral:other from 1 species